rnacentral:lncRNA from 1 species
UCUAACCACCAUAUAAAUUAUCCAAGAUAAUCUAGUUCCACUAUCUUCAUUUGGAAACCUGAGUUCCUUGCUUACUUAAUAAGCAUUAGUGUUUUUGCGUAUAGCAUCAUCCCUUUCUUUACGUUGGAGAUAAUAAAGAGUGAUGGAGCACCGACAAUCGAAGUUGCCUGAAUCUAACACAGCGAGAUACAGGUAAGGAGGUUAAUGUUUGAGAAAAAAUACUUUUUGAAAAUUGAUGUUGUUAAAGACCAUGGCCAGAUCUGAUUCUUUUGCAGUUUUAGUUACUAAAUCUAAUGUUAGAUUAGAGCUUUGACAAUAAUUACAGUUACUUCUUUCCUUUGGAGUCUGGGAUAAUGAUUCAAACUUAAUAUGAAUAGGAACAGGCAACUACACUCGAUCUCAGCAGCACGUGAAUGGUGCAUAACGUUAAGUUUUAAGUCUCCUACAGGAGUAACCAGCUUCAAGG